rnacentral:rRNA from 1 species
AUUGAACGCUGGCGGCAUGCCUUACACAUGCAAGUCGAACGGCAGCACAGUCAGAGCCUGCUCGUAGGGGGGGCGACGGGCGGGCGAGUGAUCGAAACAUCCCAAUCUACUUGGUCGAGGGGGGCGAAGGCGGGAUACAUACGCCAUAAGACCAUACGACGUAAGGGGGGGAGCAGAAGACCUCCCGCUAUUGGGGCGGCCGAUGUCGGAUUAGCUAGUUGGUGGGGUAAAGGCCUACCAAGGCGACGAUCCGUAGCUGGUCUGAGAGGACGACCAGCCACACUGGAACUGAGACACGGUCCAGACUCCUACGGGAGGCAGCAGUGGGGAAUUUUGGACAAUGGGGGCAAGCCUGAUCCAGCCAUGCCGCGUGCGGGAAGAAGGCCUUCGGGUUGUAAAGCGCUUUUGUUCGGAAAGAAAAGCUGUGGGCUAAUACCCCGGGGGGAUGACGGUACCGGAAGAAUAAGCACCGGCUAACUACGUG